GAGGUGCUUGCACCUGAUUGAUUUUGGUCGCCAACGAGUGGCGGACGGGUGAGUAACACGUAGGUAACCUGCCCAGAAGCGGGGGACAACAUUUGGAAACAGAUGCUAAUACCGCAUAACAACGUUGUUCGCAUGAACAACGCUUAAAAGAUGGCUUCUCGCUAUCACUUCUGGAUGGACCUGCGGUGCAUUAGCUUGUUGGUGGGGUAAUGGCCUACCAAGGCGAUGAUGCAUAGCCGAGUUGAGAGACUGAUCGGCCACAAUGGGACUGAGACACGGCCCAUACUCCUACGGGAGGCAGCAGUAGGGAAUCUUCCACAAUGGGCGCAAGCCUGAUGGAGCAACACCGCGUGAGUGAAGAAGGGUUUCGGCUCGUAAAGCUCUGUUGUUAAAGAAGAACACGUAUGAGAGUAACUGUUCAUACGUUGACGGUAUUUAACCAGAAAGUCACGGCUAACUACGUGCCAGCAGCCGCGGUAAUACGUAGGUGGCAAGCGUUAUCCGGAUUUAUUGGGCGUAAAGAGAGUGCAGGCGGUUUUCUAAGUCUGAUGUGAAAGCCUUCGGCUUAACCGGAGAAGUGCAUCGGAAACUGGAUAACUUGAGUGCAGAAGAGGGUAGUGGAACUCCAUGUGUAGCGGUGGAAUGCGUAGAUAUAUGGAAGAACACCAGUGGCGAAGGCGGCUACCUGGUCUGCAACUGACGCUGAGACUCGAAAGCAUGGGUAGCGAACAGGAUUAGAUACCCUGGUAGUCCAUGCCGUAAACGAUGAGUGCUAGGUGUUGGAGGGUUUCCGCCCUUCAGUGCCGGAGCUAACGCAUUAAGCACUCCGCCUGGGGAGUACGACCGCAAGGUUGAAACUCAAAGGAAUUGACGGGGGCCCGCACAAGCGGUGGAGCAUGUGGUUUAAUUCGAAGCUACGCGAAGAACCUUACCAGGUCUUGACAUCUUGCGCCAACCCUAGAGAUAGGGCGUUUCCUUCGGGAACGCAAUGACAGGUGGUGCAUGGUCGUCGUCAGCUCGUGUCGUGAGAUGUUGGGUUAAGUCCCGCAACGAGCGCAACCCUUGUUACUAGUUGCCAGCAUUAAGUUGGG
rnacentral:rRNA from 2 species